rnacentral:rRNA from 1 species
GAUGAACGCUGGCGGCGUGCUUAACACAUGCAAGUCGAACGAAGCACCUUGAUUCGAUUCUUCGGAUGAAGAUCUUGGUGACUGAGUGGCGGACGGGUGAGUAACGCGUGGGUAACCUGCCUCAUACAGGGGGAUAACAGUUAGAAAUGACUGCUAAUACCGCAUAAGACCACAGCACCGCAUGGUGCAGGGGUAAAAACUCCGGUGGUAUGAGAUGGACCCGCGUCUGAUUAGGUAGUUGGUGGGGUAACGGCCUACCAAGCCGACGAUCAGUAGCCGACCAGAGAGGGUGAGGGGGCACAAGGGGAGUGAGACACGGACGGAAGUACUACGGGAGGCAGCGGUGGGGAAUAUGGGAUAAUGUAGGAAGACCUGAUAAAGUGACGCAGCGGGAAAGAUGAAGUAGUUCGGUAAGUAAAGCGCUAUCAGAAGGGAAGAAAAGGACGGUGCGUGAAUAAGAAGCACCGGCUAAAUAAGUG